rnacentral:misc_RNA from 1 species
AGUAUCAAACUCAAACCAUCUAUACACGAGAUAACCGUAUCAUCCUAAGUCAAGGGAUUAUAUGCACUAGUAUGAUGUAGAUGAUGAUAUACUGACAAGAGUAAACUCCAUGUAUAUAUCAUUUAAACACCAUUAGUUCGGCUUACUUAUCUGAUAAGUGUCCAUUCUAUUUGUCCCAACAUCAUAAUGUCAAAUGGCAUGAGAUUUGUCAUUCCACUUUUAUUAGUAUCUCAUACAAAUCCAUAGAAACAAACAGAGGUGGCAGUCUAGUUGUAUAGAUCAUGUCUAAUAAAGUAUCCUUUACUGUGAACUUAUGAUGCAUGGAAACGUUGAACAAAGAUGUUUCCCCAUGCUGGAAAUGUUUCCAACACAGAAAUAGUGAGAAAUGUAAGGGAGGCUUGUUGGGGCCGUUGCCUCAAAUAUGGGAAGUUGAAAACUUGUUUCUGUGCUCGAACAUGCAUGUCUUUAAAAAAAAAAAAGAUAUAGGUCUUCAAGCUAGACAGAGGGCUGCUGCUUGAAAUAGAGAAGAAGAAGAAGAAGAAGA